GUGGGCGUAGCUCAGUUGGUAGAGUACUGGAUUGUGGCUCCAGGCGUCGCGGGUUCAAAUCCCGUCGCUCACCCCA
rnacentral:tRNA from 1 species